rnacentral:rRNA from 1 species
UACAGAGGUCCCGAGCGUUGUUCGGAUUCACUGGGCGUAAAGGGUGCGUAGGUGGUCGGGUAAGUCUGAGGUGAAAUCUCCGAGCCCAACUCGGAAACUGCCUUGGAUACUAUUCGGCUAGAGGGUUGGAGGGGGGACUGGAAUUCUCGGUGUAGCAGUGAAAUGCGUAGAUAUCAAGAGGAACACCUGAGGUGAAGACGGGUUGCUGGGCCAACACUGACGCUGAGGCGCGAAAGCCAGGGGAGCAAACGGG